rnacentral:rRNA from 1 species
AUGCUCCACACCUUCGACCGCAAUGACAAUGACAACAUCUCCACUACCAAGACCGUGUUCUACAUGGCGAGGCUGGGCCAGCUGCUCACCUUCGAGGAGCUCAUGAUGUGGGAUACAGACGUGUAUUGGGACGGGUUGGUGGAUUCCUUGGCAGCCAAUCGGAUGCAGGGCAUCGGCAGCGACAUUGACAGGCACCAGCGGCGUAGGAGUCCCGCGGCCUACUGGAGUUUUUGGCACUGUAAUCAACAGAAGAUUGUUGCCUGGUACUGUAAGCUACGGCAUGAGCAUCCUGCAGCAACAACAACAAAAACAGAGAACACUAUGACAUGA